AUACCUUUCUCGGCCUUUUGGUUAAGAUCAAGUGUAGUAUCUGUUCUUAUCAGUUUAAUAUAUAUCUGAUAUGCUCGUCCAUGUGACGGCGCGAUAUUAAAUUAACUUUUUUCAUGGGGGCAGCUUGCUGCUGGGGUUCUCACGCGUCGCCUUUGUGUUGCACUAUUGCAAUGGCCUGGCGCACCCCCA